rnacentral:rRNA from 1 species
GAUGAACGCUGGCGGCGUGCCUAAUACAUGCAAGUCGAGCGAACAGACGAUAAGCUUGCUCCUCUGACGUUAGCGGCGGACGGGUGAGUAACACGUGGAUAACCUACCUAUAAGACUGGGAUAACUUCGGGUAACCGGAGCUAAUACCGGAUAAUAUAUUGAACCGCAUGGUUCAAUAGUGAAAGACGGUUUUGCUGUCACUUAUAGAUGGAUCCGCGCUGGAUUAGCUAGUUGGUAAGGUAACGGCUUACCAAGGCGACGAUGCUUAGCCGACCUGAGGGGGUGAUGCAGCACCAUGGAACUGGAACACGGUCCAGACUCCUACGGGAGGCAGCAGUAGGGAAUCUUCCGCAAUGGGCGGAAGCCUGACGGAGCAACGCCGCGUGAGUGAUGAAGGUCUUCGGAUCGUAAAACUCUGUUAGUAGGGAAGAACAAAUGUGUAAGUAACUCUGCACGUCUUGACGGUACCUAAUCAGAAAGCCACGGCUAACUACGUG